rnacentral:lncRNA from 1 species
UGCCCGCCCUCCCCAGCGUGCUGCGGGUGUUGGUUUGCUGAAGCUGAGACAACCACAAGAUGUUUCCAUAAAGAGCAGGAAAGUUGGAUUGAAUGUUCUCUCUCUUUAAAUGAAAAUACCUAUUCUUAACCUGAACCAAGGCCAGUGUAUCAUGCAACAUGGAUGAGUCAGAUUUUAAAGCAGUUUCUGCAAUCCCCCUGAUGCUUGGAGUGAUGCAGGAUGAGUCCAGCACAUAACAUCAAUGAGGCUCCUCUGUGCUCUCAGGGUAUUCAUGUGGUGUUCCAAUUCAUGCAUGUAUUGCUGCUUUAUCCUUUGGGAUGAACUCAUCUGGGGCAUUGACUUCGAGAAACAGCAGGAGAGAUGCUCAAAACAAGCCUGUGAAGCUGAAAAUAGCACACCCCAGUUGCUGCUGCUUUCAAGAUAAAGAUGUCACCAGAGUUCUCACCCAGAAGAUGGGAAAGGAGAGGAAAAGAAAAAGGAAGAAAGAAUUAUAAUUUUGCUGCUUUCUGGAACACUAAUUCAAGAUGUGUCAGCAUGAGGUGUUGUCUGAAAGACCACACUAUAUAGGUGAGGCACGCAAAUAUCCCCAGCCCUGACAUAUGUUAUAAAAGAUGGGGCAUUUUAUCUCUCUGACUCUAUGCUGGGUUGUGCACAUUUUUGUUAGAAGCAGGUGUAUUUUUGUGUGCAUUCAGCCAUCUUUUCACCUAAUAAUGUGAAUCUCCA